UUCAGAAUGUCUUGAGUGAAAAAGAUACUAAAGAAGCUCGUACAACAGUUGUGUCAAAGAGGGAGGAGCGAUACAUGUCCUAAUCAAGCUGUAUUUCAAAAGGAAAAAUGAGGUCUCAGUUGUCUGGUAAGAAUCUGAACAAGACAGGAGUACGCUGGCUUACAUUUGCUCUAGCUUGGUGAGCUCCGGCUGAAGAAAAGAAUCCAACACCUGCUGAUAUCUGCUUAUGAGGGCAAGAUCUCUAAAUCAACUAACGGUCAUAUCCUUGGCAACUCUUCGCAAACACCCUCUUCAUCUCCAGUUCUUGCCUAUCUUCAUGCCCGGCACAUGUCAGCAACCAUCCGACCAGCAACUCUUGUCUCAAAUAUAUUUGAAACAGCAAAAUUAAAAACUUUUUCCAAGGCAACCUAAGUGGAAUACAGAAGAGAAAAAUAAUUUAUCUCAUCAACCAUCUUUUGAACAGAGCAAUGCAUUGCAAUACUGCACAUAUGAAUGGAGUUGAUGCAUGUGUGCAGCAA